AUUGAACGCUGGCGGCAGGCCUAACACAUGCAAGUCGAGCGGAUGAAGGGAGCUUGCUCCUGGAUUCAGCGGCGGACGGGUGAGUAAUGCCUAGGAAUCUGCCUGGUAGUGGGGGAUAACGUCCGGAAACGGGCGCUAAUACCGCAUACGUCCUGAGGGAGAAAGUGGGGGAUCUUCGGACCUCACGCUAUCAGAUGAGCCUAGGUCGGAUUAGCUAGUUGGUGGGGUAAAGGCCUACCAAGGCGACGAUCCGUAACUGGUCUGAGAGGAUGACCAGUCACACUGGAACUGAGACACGGUCCAGACUCCUACGGGAGGCAGCAGUGGGGAAUAUUGGACAAUGGGCGAAAGCCUGAUCCAGCCAUGCCGCGUGUGUGAAGAAGGUCUUCGGAUUGUAAAGCACUUUAAGUUGUGAGGAAGGGCAGUAAGUUAAUACCUUGCUGUUUUGACGUUACCAACAGAAUAAGCACCGGCUAACUUCGUG
rnacentral:rRNA from 1 species